rnacentral:siRNA from 1 species
CAUAGUAUUUCUGUGUGUAUCCAU